rnacentral:rRNA from 1 species
AUUGAACGCUGGCGGCAGGCCUAACACAUGCAAGUCGAACGGUAACAGAAAGCAGCUUGCUGCUUUGCUGACGAGUGGCGGACGGGUGAGUAAUGUCUGGGAAACUGCCUGAUGGAGGGGGAUAACUACUGGAAACGGUAGCUAAUACCGCAUAACGUCGCAAGACCAAAGAGGGGGACCUUCGGGCCUCUUGCCAUCGGAUGUGCCCAGAUGGGAUUAGCUAGUAGGUGGGGUAAAGGCUCACCUAGGCGACGAUCCCUAGCCGGUCUGAGAGGAUGACCAGCCACACUGGAACUGAGACACGGUCCAGACUCCUACGGGAGGCAGCAGUGGGGAAUAUUGCACAAUGGGCGCAAGCCUGAUGCAGCCAUGCCGCGUGUAUGAAGAAGGCCUUCGGGUUGUAAAGUACUUUCAGCGGGGAGGAAGGGAGUAAAGUUAAUACCUUUGCUCAUUGACGUUACCCGCAGAAGAAGCACCGGCUAACUCCGUG